GAUGAACGCUGGCGGCGUGCCUAAUACAUGCAAGUAGAACGUUGAAGGAAGGAGCUUGCUCUUUCCGGAUGAGUUGCGAACGGGUGAGUAACGCGUAGGUAACCUGCCUGGUAGCGGGGGAUAACUAUUGGAAACGAUAGCUAAUACCGCAUAACAGUAGAUGUUGCAUGACAUCUGCUUGAAAGGUGCAAUUGCACCACUACCAGAUGGACCUGCGUUGUAUUAGCUAGUUGGUGAGGUAACGGCUCACCAAGGCGACGAUACAUAGCCGACCUGAGAGGGUGAUCGGCCACACUGGGACUGAGACACGGCCCAGACUCCUACGGGAGGCAGCAGUAGGGAAUCUUCGGCAAUGGACGGAAGUCUGACCGAGCAACGCCGCGUGAGUGAAGAAGGUUUUCGGAUCGUAAAGCUCUGUUGUAAGAGAAGAACGAGUGUGAGAGUGGAAAGUUCACACUGUGACG
rnacentral:rRNA from 1 species